rnacentral:lncRNA from 1 species
CCCAUGCGACAUUUCUAAGACCAGCAUAUCAAGCAAUGUCUCCUACAAGAAAAUUUUACUUCACUUUACUGGCAAGUCCCAACUUUGUUACUACUAUUAGCUUAUGCAGUUUGGGGGGAGAGUGGGCGGCCUGGCAAUCGCAACACUGCGAGAUGUGACUCCAGAACUUCCCAGUGCCACUAUACUUUCGAUUGCUAUUGCUUGUGGAGCAUGGAUCUUGGACCUGAGGUGGACGACUGGUAUCACUUUGAUUUUAGUUCGAGACAGUGUCAACCAAAAGCAAGAAGGUACAACUGCAACGGAUUUCAAACUAGAUACGACUGUACGAAAAGCUGCGUGAAUAUGACGGGAGCUUCUUCCUCCUGGCACACCACUCGUAAUGGUACUGAGAUCUCCAGCAAAUGAAAA